AACGCGAAGAACCUUACCUGGGCUUGACAUGUCUCUGACAGCCGUGGAAACACGGUCUCCCUUCGGGGCAGAGUCACAGGUGGUGCAUGGCUGUCGUCAGCUCGUGUCGUGAGAUGUUGGGUUAAGUCCCGCAACGAGCGCAACCCCCGUCGCAUGUUGCCAGCAUUUAGUUGGGGACUCAUGCGAGACUGCCGGUGACAAACCGGAGGAAGGUGGGGAUGACGUCAAGUCAUCAUGCCCCUUAUGUCCAGGGCUACACACGUGCUACAUUGGCGCGUACAGAGGGUUGCGAUACCGCGAGGUGGAGCGAAUCCCUCAAAGCGCGUCUCGGUUCGGAUUGCAGGCUGAAACUCGCCUGCAUGAAGGCGGAGUUGCUAGUAAUCGCGGAUCAGCACUGCCGCGGUGAAUACGUUCCCGGGCCUUGUA
rnacentral:rRNA from 1 species